rnacentral:rRNA from 1 species
AAAUUGAAGAGUUUGAUCAUGGCUCAGAUUGAACGCUGGCGGCAGGCCUAACACAUGCAAGUCGAGCGGAAACGAGUUACCUGAACCUUAGGGGAACGAUAACGGCGUCGAGCGGCGGACGGGUGAGUAAUGCCUAGGAAAUUGCCCUGAUGUGGGGGAUAACCAUUGGAAACGAUGGCUAAUACCGCAUGAUGCCUACGGGCCAAAGAGGGGGACCUUCGGGCCUCUCG